UACGUAGGGGGCAAGCGUUGUCCGGAUUUAUUGGGCGUAAAGAGCGUGUAGGCGGCCAGGUAGGUCCGUUGUGAAAACUCGAGGCUCAACCUCGAGACGUCGGCGGAAACCCUCUGGCUAGAGUCCGGAAGAGGAGAGUGGAAUUCCUGGUGUAGCGGUGAAAUGCGCAGAUAUCAGGAAGAACACCCGUGGCGAAGGCGGCUCUCUGGGCAUUAACUGACGCUGAGGAGCGAAAGCAUGGGGAGCGAACAGG
rnacentral:rRNA from 1 species